rnacentral:rRNA from 1 species
GAUGAACGCUGGCGGCGUGCCUAAUACAUGCAAGUCGAGCGAACGGACGAGAAGCUUGCUUCUCUGAUGUUAGCGGCGGACGGGUGAGUAACACGUGGAUAACCUACCUAUAAGACUGGGAUAACUUCGGGAAACCGGAGCUAAUACCGGAUAAUAUUUUGAACCGCAUGGUUCAAAAGUGAAAGACGGUCUUGCUGUCACUUAUAGAUGGAUCCGCGCUGCAUUAGCUAGUUGGUAAGGUAACGGCUUACCAAGGCAACGAUGCAUAGCCGACCUGAGAGGGUGAUCGGCCACACGGGAACUGAGACACGGUCCAGACUCCUACGGGAGGCAGCAGUAGGGAAUCUUCCGCAAUGGGCGAAAGCCUGACGGAGCAACGCCGCGUGAGUGAUGAAGGUCUUCGGAUCGUAAAACUCUGUUAUUAGGGAAGAACAUAUGUGUAAGUAACUGUGCACAUCUGGACGGUACCUAAUCAGAAAGCCACGGCUAACUACGU